rnacentral:sRNA from 1 species
UAUCAUACGCGAAUUUGUCGCUGCCCGC